UAUUACCGCGGCUGCUGGCACGGAGUUAGCCGGAGCUUAUUCUCCCGGUACUGUCAUUAUCAUCCCGGGUAAAAGAGCUUUACAACCCUAAGGCCUUCAUCACUCACGCGGCAUUGCUGGAUCAGGCUUUCGCCCAUUGUCCAAUAUUCCCCACUGCUGCCUCCCGUAGGAGUCUGGGCCGUGUCUCAGUCCCAGUGUGGCUGAUCAUCCUCUCAGACCAGCUAAGGAUCGUCGCCUUGGUGCGCCUUUACCACACCAACUAGCUAAUCCUACGCGGGCUCAUCCUCAGGCGAUAAAUCUUUGAUCUCGCGAUAUCAUCCGGUAUUAGCAGCAAUUUCUCGCUGUUAUUCCGAACCUGAGGGCAGAUUCCCACGCGUUACGCACCCGUGCGCCACUAAGGCCGAAGCCUUCGUUCGACUUGCAUGUGUUAGGCAUGCCGCCAGCGUUCAUUCUGAGCCAGAAUCAAACUC
rnacentral:rRNA from 1 species